CCUACGGGUGGCAGCAGUGAGGAAUAUUGGUCAAUGGGCGCGAGCCUGAACCAGCCAAGUAGCGUGAAGGAUGACUGCUCUACGGGUUUUAAACUUCUUUUAUAAAGGAGUAAAGUGAGGCACGUGUGUCUGUUUGUAUGUACUUUAUUAAUAAGGCUCCGCCAACUCCGUGCAAGCGGCCGAGGUAAUACGGAGGGUCCGAGCGUUAUCCGGACUUAUUGGGUUUAAAGGGAGCGUAGAUGGGUAGUUACGUCAGUUGUGAAUGUUAGGGGUUCAAACGUAAAAUUGCAAUUGAUACUGGCAGUCUUGAGUACAGGUGAGGUAAGCGGAAGUCGUGGUGUAGCGGUGAAAUGCGUAGAUAUCACGAAGAACUCCGAUUGCGAAGGAAGCUUACUAGACUGCCACUGACGUUGAUGCGCGAAAGUGUGGGGAUCAAACAGGAUUAGAUACCCCUGUAGUC
rnacentral:rRNA from 1 species